GUCCCUCGGUGCGGGCGGCGGAGGCUGAGGCUGACAGCCCGCAGUGGCGGGGAGACCGACGCCCCCCGCCGCCGGGGCCGCCAUGAACUCGGGCCGGAGGAAGGGCUUUAUCCGGCAGGAAGUGAACAAGACGGCCUGGGACCUGCCCAUGGUCUACGGGCCCCUGACCCCCGUGGGCAGCGGCGCCUACGGCUCCGUGUGCUCAGCUAUCAAUUCGAAGACCGGGGAGAAGGUGGCUAUCAAGAAACUGAGCCGACCAUUCCAGUCCGAGAUCUUCGCCAAGAGGGCCUAUCGGGAGCUGCUGCUGCUGAAGCACAUGCAGCAUGAGAAUGUGAUUGGGCUGCUGGAUGUCUUCACCUCGGCCACUUCGCUACACAACUUUCAGGAUUUCUACCUGGUGAUGCCCUUCAUGCAGACUGACCUGCAGAAGAUCAUGGGGAUGGAGUUCAGUGAGGACAAGAUCCAGUACCUUGUCUACCAGAUGCUGAAAGGGCUUAAGUACAUCCACUCGGCUGGGGUCAUUCACAGGGACCUGAAGCCGGGAAACUUGGCUGUGAAUGAGGACUGUGAACUCAAGAUCCUGGAUUUUGGGCUGGCCCGGCACGCAGACUCUGAGAUGACGGGCUACGUGGUGACCCGCUGGUACCGGGCUCCAGAGGUGAUCCUCAGCUGGAUGCACUACAACAAGACAGUGGACAUCUGGUCCGUCGGCUGCAUCAUGGCCGAGAUGAUAACGGGGAAAACGCUAUUUAAGGGAAAAGACUCCAGACCUGGACCAGCUGACCCAGAUCCUAAAAGUGACUGGGGUUCCGGGAGCCGAGUUUGUGCAGAAGCUGCAGGACAAAGCGGCCAAAUCCUACAUCCAGGCCCUGCCUCGGAGUCCCAAGAAGGAUUUCUCGCAGCUCUUCCCCCAGGCCAGUCCCCAAGCGGCCGACCUUCUGGAGAAGAUGCUGGAGCUGGAUGUGGAGAAGCGGCUGACCGCCACCCAGGCUCUGGCCCACCCUUUCUUUGACCAGUUCCGGGAUCCGGAGGAGGAGACAGAGGCCCAGCACCCAUUUGAUGACUCCCUGGAGCACGAAAAGCUCACAGUGGAGGAGUGGAAGAGUCACAUCUACAAGGAGAUCACAAGCUUCAGCCCCAUUGUCCGGAACGACUCCAAGAGGCGGAGCGGCAUGAAACUAGCGACCAGCCCAGCCAGUUCUGGGACUUGACUGACUGCUGAGGGGACCGUGAGGAGGCCACAGAUCACAGACGGGAUCUAGGCACUGAUUGCUAUCGGUGUCUGCUAAAGUGACCCUUGGGCAUAAAGAGCAAGGCACCGGUGGAGGGGAACUGGGUUCCUUUCUUGAGGAGGGGACAGCUUUGGAGCGAGGAGGUGCUCUGCAAGACUCGAUGCCGUUAUCUCUGUUGGACAGUGAAAUGGCUUCUCAUUAAAGACCCCAAAAUCCCCCA